rnacentral:rRNA from 1 species
GAUGAACGCUAGCUACAGGCUUAACACAUGCAAGUCGAGGGGUCUCGCGGGAGCUUGCUUCCAAGAGACGACCGGCGCACGGGUGAGUAACGCGUAUCCAACCUGCCCUUCAUAUUGGGAUAGCCUUCCGAAAGGAAGAUUAAUACCGAAUAACAUGAGAAAGUUGCCUGAUUCUCUCAUGAAAGCUCCGGCGAUGAAGGAUGGGGAUGCGUUCCAUUAGGUAGUAGGCGGGGUAACGGCCCACCUAGCCUACGAUGGAUAGGGGUUCUGAGAGGAAGGUCCCCCACACUGGAACUGAGACACGGUCCAGACUCCUACGGGAGGCAGCAGUGAGGAAUAUUGGUCAAUGGGCGCAAGCCUGAACCAGCCAAGUAGCGUGAAGGAUGACUGCCCUAUGGGUUGUAAACUUCUUUUAUACGGGAACAAACCUUGGUACGCGUACCAUAUUGCGUGUACCGUAUGAAUAAGCAUCGGCUAACUCCGUGCCAGCCGCCGCAGUAACAC